rnacentral:rRNA from 1 species
UACAGAGGGGGCAAGCGUUUGUUCGGAAUUACUGGGCGUAAAGGGCGCGUAGGCGGCCUUCUAAGUCGAACGUGAAAUCCCCGGGCUCAACCCGGGAACUGCGUCCGAUACUGGAAGGCUUGAAUCCGGGAGAGGGAUGUGGAAUUCCAGGUGUAGCGGUGAAAUGCGUAGAUAUUCGGAAGAACACCAGUGGCGAAGGCGACUUACUGGACGAUUGUUGACGCUGAGGUGCGAAAGCGUGGGGAGCAAACAGG